rnacentral:rRNA from 1 species
GACGAACGCUGGCGGCGUGCUUAACACAUGCAAGUCGAGCGGAGCGGCGAACGGGUGAGUAAAGCGUGAGUAACUGCCCCCCUCUCUGGGAUAACAGUUGGAAACGGCUGCUAAUACCGGAUAGUGGGGGAUGACUCGCGUCCUAUCAGCUUGUUGGUGGGGUAGUGGCCUCCCAAGGCGACGACGGGUAGCCGGCCUGAGAGGGGGACCGGCCACAAUGGGCUGAGCUACGGCCCAGACUCCUACGCGGGGCAGGCGUCGGGAUUAUUGCCCAAUGGGGGACACCCUGAUGCAGCGACGCCGCGUGCGGUAUGACGGCCUUCGGGUUGUAAACCGCUUUCAGCCAUGACGCGGUAGUGGCAGAAGAAGCACCGGCUAACUACGUGCCAGCAGCCGCGGUAAUAC